rnacentral:pre_miRNA from 7 species
UUAUUAGAUUUAGAGGACACCUAAAUCCAGAAUGAUCUUGAAAGAGCCUAGUGGGGAAACCCCCACUCAAUUCCCAUUUGGCGUGCACCCAAGAAUCACGAACAGACGA